rnacentral:rRNA from 1 species
GCUCCAAUAGCGUAUAUUAAAGUUGUUGCAGUUAAAAAGCUCGUAGUUGAAUUUCGGGAUCAGUAUAUCGGUCGUGCCUUCGGUAUGUACUGGUAUUACUGGUUCCUCCUUUCUGAAAAACUGUGAUGUCAUUAAUUUGGUGUCGCGGGGAAUCAGGACUGUUACUUUGAAAAAAUUAGAGUGUUUAAAGCAGGCA